rnacentral:lncRNA from 1 species
UUCAGGAGUUAUGGUUCUUGAAAGAUCGUAAAAUGGCGUUUCCAUUCACGUUGUUGCAUUUACUUAUGAACCAUUCAAUCUAAGCUUUUCAAAUUUUAAUAUGUUGAUACUGAUGACAAAAUGGAGGUCAAAUUUGAUAUUGACGAUUUUCACUUUCACCAUUCAUCAGUAAUGGUUCUUGUGAUAUUGCCAGGACACAAAUAAAUGUUAAUAAAUCCGGUUUGCUGUCGUUGUGACAGCCUCUUGUUU